rnacentral:lncRNA from 1 species
UACCUGAAAAAUUGACACAAUUUACAUUGGAGUUCAUCAAAAGAUUCCUUGGAAGAUUUAAUACACUAACUGAACUAAAAAUAAAUUUCCAAGUCACGCCUUAAUAAUUGUGCUAUUUUGAAAUGAUUGUAUCUGAUUUUUCCCAAAGAAAAACAGGAAGAAAUAAAUGAAUUUACUGUUCUAUAAAGGCCUUUAGUAACAAGUGGAACGCAUUGGAUAACACCAUAUCUUUUGCUAAAGUUCAUGCACAAAGAGAUGCAGUAAGCACUGUUGAAGACUUGAAGCAACAAAAAGAAAGCUUUCUUAUAACACAGAAGGAUUUAAAGAAAAAAACUUACUUUGUUUCCUUCCGUACAGUUAUACAAGUGUGUAUAAAUGCAGGUCGAAUAUCAGGUGAACUGUCUGCUAACCGAUUGACUGGAGGUUGUAUAUAGGCUGUUUGAAGCAGCAAUUCACUGAGUCGGCUGCCAACCUGUGCACAUUUAGGGGGUGUUUGAUAAGUAUUUUUGUGUAAAAAUGUAUUUUAAAAUAGUAAAUUGAUGUGAAAUGUGUGGUUGAAAAAUAAGGAAAAGUUUUAGACUUACGUGUAAUAUUAUUUUAAUAAAGAAUGUGUGGUUUAAAAGAAAAAAGAGAAAAAUGCAUUUUAAAGAAAAUGACUAUCAAAGGGCUCUUAGUUUGUAAGAAAACAGUAAACUUAAUGCAAUGAGUACAAGAGUUAGGUCAGACCUUCGCUUUAGCAUCAGUGCCCCAUGGUUUUGAAUCAUCCUGUCCUUUAACUAGUUGCCCCACUGCUCGCAAAUUUUGUUUUUUCAUCAAAUUAUUAACAGCCUUUUACAAAUUUUCUUGUUCUUGGUCAUUGCCAUCAGAACCACCUCCUUCCUGUUUUGUCUCUUUAACUUUUUGCCUCUCUGUUUUCUUCAAGAAUUUGUGUAUUCUAACCUGAUCGAUGACAGAAAUUGUUAGAAAACUAAUUACAACCAACCAUAAUUAGGAUACUGCUUUAAAGCAACAUCAAAAACAUAAUUAGGAUACUGCCAUACAAAUCACAAAUCAUGCCCAUCUACUUACUAAAGUAACAACCAGAAUAUAGUGCAAAAAAUAAAAUAAAAUUUUGCAACACAAAAUAAACAUUGCAAAAAGACGACAUUAGCAACAUUCACUUAAAAAAUGCAGCCAAAUCUCAAUUAUUAACAUAAAUGGCAACAUUCACUUAUAAGAAUGUUGCAAUAGACACUUUUAUCAACAUUAAAUUAAUAAAUGUUGUCUUUUGCAUGUUGCAAAAAGGCAUUUUUAUUGUAGUGAUUAUACUUAGAGAUGUAGUUGGGAUUUUCAUUUAAUAAUGGCUGUGGGUCGCCGUUUAAGUGGACCAGACAUGUAUUCUAUGGAAUGGAUUGAAAAAGAGUGGUUUGAUUUACUCUACAAAGGGAGUGAUUUGAAUUUUAAAUUGAAAGCUCAGCUCUCAACAUCAUAUAACCUCUCACCAUUUUUUUAAAACUAUUCUAAACGGCCAUGGCCCCGGAGGGGGGGGGGGGGGUCAAAAGAAAAAAAACUUACUUUGUUUCCUUCCGUACAGUUAUACAAGUGUGUAUAAAUGCAGGUCGAAUAUCAGGUGAACUGUCUGCUAACCGAUUGACUGGAGGUUGUAUAUAGGCUGUUUGAAGCAGCAAUUCACUGAGUCGGCUGCCAACCUGUGCACAUUUAGGGGGUGUUUGAUAA